AUUAUGGAGAGUUUGAUCCUGGCUCAGAGUGAACGCUGGCGGCGUGCCUAAUACAUGCAAGUCGAACGAUGAAGCUU
rnacentral:rRNA from 1 species